GAGCAUUAGCUCAGUUGGUAGAGCACUUGACUUUUAAUCAAGUUGUCCGGGGUUCGAAUCCCCGAUG
rnacentral:tRNA from 9 species